CUUUUCCUUUUAUCUCUUUUCAAAAUUUUCCUCUUGAUCAAUAUUUCUUCUCAAGUUUUCCAUAAUAUCUCAUAAUUUAGGUUUUAUAACUCUAUUGUAGAUAUUUGAAUUGUUUUUAGCCGAAUCCCCACACCCGUAUCCAUAUGCAUGGAUCUGUAUUCCCGAAUUUUAAAUUUAGAUCAUAGAGGAUCCGACCUCUAGAUACGCACCCGUAUCAGACACCCGAACCUGAGUCCAAGCAACUUAGAUUUCCACAACUUUCAUCUUUUAGACGUGCGAGUCUAGAGUCCUUGAUAGGCCAACAGUUCGCCUCAUACAACUUAGCUGGUCUGACAAUCACUUUAUAAUACUUACCUUUUAAGUCUUGCACAUUCUUAUCACACAAGACACUUUGCGAGCCUUUAUUUCAUCGACUUUGCUCCAAUACGGUGUGUAACUUCAUCAUCAAUCUCCCAAUUUUUUUAGAUUAUUGACCCAAGAUACUUUAAACUUCCUCUCUUGGAGUUGACCUGUGUAACAAUCCUCACUUUCACAUCUACCUUAUGGGUAGCGUCGUUGAACUUUCAGUCUAAGUUCUAUUUCUUAGUCCUUCUCACCCUAAACCCUUUAGACUCCAAAUUCUGUCUCCAAACCUCCAACUUAUCAUCAAUCCACGACGAGUCUCAUCAAUCAUGUCAGUCACUUUAUCUUUUUCGCUCUUUCAUCAACAUCCAUGGUUGGAUUUACAAAUGCCAACCAACCCUAUUGAUUUUUGUUAUAUGGAAUGGUUUCUUCUUUGAUUCUUAAGAUCAAAGGCGGGAAUUCUCUCUGGAUUCCUAUCGGGCUGCUGUUAUGUGAACUGUUAGUGACAGGCUGGUUCAUUUCACAUUUUCUCACAAAAACAAUAAUCAGUAUAAAUUUCAAAGCUGUUUUUUUAUCCAUUAGUGAGUUGUACAAAAUUAAGUCUGUGAGACACACUUUUAGCUGAUUUUAGAGGAUGUAAAUAAGUUGCUAACAAUCUAUAAACCUCACAUUAACUUUAAAGGAUUCUACUCAAUACAAGUAGAGUUAAAGUAUUUGAUGAUAUCAUAGGUGCUAUCUGGUGUUCUGUUUUCUGUUAAUAUAGUAUAAUCCAACUCUGUGAAUAGUGGUCAUGAGUCUUAAGAAGGUGCUCAACGUUCAUUUACUUGAUGACUGAAGUAAUAGGGACGAUAAUCGUAUAUGCUGUGACUUUUUAGUCAAUACAAGUUGCAGCAAGAUGAUUUGCCUUUUUAUGCAAAGGCCAAAGCAUACAAAUUGUGUAUAAACUAGAGAUGGUUUAUUUCAUCAUAUGAGACCUUUAAAACACUAGAACCCAAAAUAAUUUAUUGCUGUCUUAGAGUUCUGCUCAUUCUGUUUUCAAGAACAGAUACUGUACAAUAGAUUCUCCGCAUUUCAUGGUGUCUUGUUGUGGUAGAUUCCACGGAUUUUUGAAAUUCUCCAUAUGUAUGUUGUUGCGUAGAGUAUUGAAAUAUGCAGCAAGCGAAAGAAGUUUGGAGUUGUUUGUGCAGGGGGACUUUAGAGUCAUGUCCUUAUGGUGAAGAUAGAUUUAUUACCUGCAAUGUUUGGAAAAUACGAAUUCCCAAUCUUUGUAGAUCAUAAUGCGCACCCCUUCACUUUUCUGAUUAUUAGUUGUUGUUAGAAAGUAAAAGUAAACUAUUUGCCAUAAUAACCAAUCUAUGUGCUUUCUAAUGUUCAUCUUCGACACAAUUCAUUACUCACUUACCGUUUACAUACAGGUUACAUCCACGUCCAGAAAGUGAUGUUGAAUAUUUGCAUGGUAUUCUUGAAUCAAUUGCUCGCAUUGAGGCAAAGGGAUACAAGUUACUGAAGGAUCUAGGGGCCACCCCUGUUGAAGAAGUGAUCACUUCUGGAGGAGGUUCUAAAAACCAAAAAUGGAUAAAGAUACGGGAGAGGGUACUCGGUUUGCCUGUGUGCAAGGCAGACCAGACUGAAGCUGCCUAUGGAGCUGCAUUAUUGGCAAUGAAGGGUGCUUGUGAAAAUGCAACAUCUGAUUAGAAAAGUAUAAUGUUACUGGUGUUAGAGCUUAUCUAGUAAUGAUUAUGCUAUACAUUUAUGCAAUAUUCCAAUUUAGUAGUGUCUGUAAGGAGCUUCUCAACGCAAAUUGUCUAUUUGAAGGAAAUUUCCAAAACAAGUAGUAUCAA